rnacentral:misc_RNA from 1 species
GAUGAAGAACGCAGCGAAAUGCGAUAAGUAAUGUGAAUUGCAGAAUUCAGUGAAUCAUCGAAUCUUUGAACGCACAUUGCGCCCGCCAGUAUUCUGGCGGGCAUGCCUGUCCGAGCGUCAUUUCAACCCUCGAACCCCUCCGGGGGGUCGGCGUUGGGGACCUCGGGAGCCCCUAAGACGGGAUCCCGGCCCCGAAAUACAGUGGCGGUCUCGCCGCAGCCUCUCCUGCGCAGUAGUUUGCACAACUCGCACCGGGAGCGCGGCGCGUCCACGUCCGUAAAACACCCAACUUCUGAAAUGUUGACCUCGGAUCAGGUAGGAAUACCCGCUGAACUUAAGCAUAUCAAUAAGCGAGGA